CGAGUUUGCUCCCUCUGAGAAGAGAGCAGAGGAAGUGGGUGUUGAAAUCACUACCGAGGAAGCUGCUGAAAUCACGGAGGCAGAAAUCACUGAACAAGUCACAACCGCCGAAGCACCCAAAGAGAGCGUGGGUGUAGAAAUCAGCACUGCUGAGACUGUGGAGGCAGUGGAAGAGAAACCCACUGUUGAAAUUCCGGCCGAAGAACAAGUGGCCGAACAGAUCUCAGUGGCUGCUGAGGAGACGGUCAAGGAGGAAGUGUCCCUUGAAAUCGUGUCUAAAGAGCAACCCGAAACUGAAAUGGUGGUUGAAAUCCCGGAGGAGAAACCCUCCGAGGAUGUCAGCGCAGAACUGGGUGUGGAAGAAGCACCUGAGGAGGAGAAGGAGGAAGUCGUGGCCGAGUUUGCUCCCUCUGAGAAGAGAGCAGAGGAAGUGGGUGUUGAAAUCACUACCGAGGAAGCUGCUGAAAUCACGGAGGCAGAAAUCACUGAACAAGUCACAACCGCCGAAGCACCCAAAGAGAGCGUGGGUGUAGAAAUCAGCACUGCUGAGACUGUGGAGGCAGUGGAAGAGAAACCCACUGUUGAAAUUCCGGCCGAAGAACAAGUGGCCGAACAGAUCUCAGUGGCUGCUGAGGAGACGGUCAAGGAGGAAGUGUCCCUUGAAAUCGUGUCUAAAGAGCAACCCGAAACUGAAAUGGUGGUUGAAAUCCCGGAGGAGAAACCCUCCGAGGAUGUCAGCGCAGAACUGGGUGUGGAAGAAGCACCUGAGGAGGAGAAGGAGGAAGUCGUGGCCGAGUUUGCUCCCUCUGAGAAGAGAGCAGAGGAAGUGGGUGUUGAAAUCACUACCGAGGAAGCUGCUGAAAUCACGGAGGCAGAAAUCACUGAACAAGUCACAACCGCCGAAGCACCCAA
rnacentral:sRNA from 1 species